UGGGGAAUAUUGCACAAUGGGGGAAACCCUGAUGCAGCGACGCCGCGUGAAGGAUGAAGUAUUUUCGGUAUGUAAACUUCUAUCAGCAGGGAAGAAAAUUGGCGGUACCUGACUAAGAAGCCCCGGCUAACUACGUGCCAGCAGCCGCGGUAAUACGUAGGGGGCAAGCGUUAUCCGGAUUUACUGGGUGUAAAGGGAGCGUAGACGGCAUGGCAAGUCUGAAGUGAAAGCCCGGGGCUCAACCCCGGGACUGCUUUGGAAAACUGUGGAUCUGGAGUGCCGGAGAGGUAAGCGGAAUUCCUAGUGUAGCGGUGAAAUGCGUAGAUAUUAGGAGGAACACCAGUGGCGAAGGCGGCUCUCUGGCCUGUAACUGACACUGAGGCUCGAAAGCGUGGGGAGCAAACAGGAUUAGAUACCC
rnacentral:rRNA from 1 species